AACGCGAAGAACCUUACCAGGUCUUGACAUCCCAGUGACCGCUCUAGAGAUAGAGUUUUUCUUCGGAACACUGGUGACAGGUGGUGCAUGGUUGUCGUCAGCUCGUGUCGUGAGAUGUUGGGUUAAGUCCCGCAACGAGCGCAACCCUUGCUGUUAGUUGCCAUCAUUAAGUUGGGCACUCUAACGGGACUGCCGGGGAUAACUCGGAGGAAGGUGGGGAUGACGUCAAAUCAUCAUGCCCCUUAUGUUCUGGGCUACACACGUGCUACAAUGGUCGGUACAAAGAGCAGCGAUAUCGUGAGGUGGAGCAAAUCUCGAAAACCGAUCCCAGUUCGGAUUGUAGGCUGCAACUCGCCUGCAUGAAGUCGGAAUCGCUAGUAAUUCGAGGUCAGCAUACUCGGGUGAAUGCGUUCCCGGGUCUUGUACACACGC
rnacentral:rRNA from 1 species